GUAGGUGGCAAGCGUUGUCCGGAAUUAUUGGGCGUAAAGCGCGCGCAGGCGGUCCUUUAAGUCUGAUGUGAAAGCCCACGGCUCAACCGUGGAGGGUCGUUGGAAACUGGGGGACUUGAGUACAGAAGAGGAAAGCGGAAUUCCAAGUGUAGCGGUGAAAUGCGUAGAGAUUUGGAGGAACACCAGUGGCGAAGGCGGCUUUCUGGUCUGUAACUGACGCUGAGGCGCGAAAGCGUGGGGAGCAAACAGGAUUAGAUACCCUGGUAGUCCACGCCGUAAACGAUGAGUGCUAAGUGUUAGGGGGUUUCCCGCCCCCCUUAGUGCUGCAGCUAACGCAUUAAGCACUCCGCCUGGGGAGUACGGCCCGCAAGGCUG
rnacentral:rRNA from 1 species